AUAUUAUUUAAUGGCCGCGGUAUUUUGACCGUGCAAAGGUAGCAUAAUCAUUAGUCUAUUAAUUGUAGACUUGUAUGAAUGGUUGGACGUAAUAUUUACUGUCUCAUUUAUUAUUAAUUGAAAUUAAAAUUUAAGUUAAAAUGCUUAAAUUUUUUUAAAGGACGAGAAGACCCUAUAGAUCUUUAUUUUAUUUAUUAUUUAUUAUUUUUGUUUUUAUUUUAUAGAUUUAUUUAUAAUUUUUUGUUGGGGUGACAUGGAGAUAAUUUAUAACUCUUUAUUUUUUUUUUCAUUGAUUUUUGUUUAAUUGACCUUUUAUUAUUGUUAUAAGAUAUAGAUACCUUAGGGAUAACAGCGUAAUUCUUUUUGAGAGUUCAUAUUGACAAAAGAGAUUGCGACCUCGAUGUUGGAUUAAGAUUAUAUUUAGGUGUAGUUGCUUAAUUAUUAGGUCUGUUCGACCUUUAAAUUCUUACAUGAUCUGAGUUCAAA
rnacentral:rRNA from 1 species